CAGCCGCCACGGUAAUACGGAGGGGGCUAGCGUUGUUCGGAAUUACUGGGCGUAAAGCGCACGUAGGCGGCUUUACAAGUCAGAGGUGUAAGCCUGGUGCUCAACACCAGAAUUGCCUUUGAGACUGUAUCGCUUGAACGUCGGAGAGGUGAGUGGAAUUCCGAGUGUAGAGGUGAAAUUCGUAGAUAUUCGGAAGAACACCAGUGGCGAAGGCGGCUCACUGGACGACUGUUGACGCUGAGGUGCGAAAGCGUGGGGAGCAAACAGGAUUAGAUACCCCCGUAGUCCCUGUCUCUUAUAC
rnacentral:rRNA from 1 species